rnacentral:rRNA from 1 species
UACGAAGGGGGCUAGCGUUGCUCGGAAUCACUGGGCGUAAAGGGUGCGUAGGCGGGUCUUUAAGUCAGGGGUGAAAUCCUGGAGCUCAACUCCAGAACUGCCUUUGAUACUGAGGAUCUUGAGUUCGGGAGAGGUGAGUGGAACUGCGAGUGUAGAGGUGAAAUUCGUAGAUAUUCGCAAGAACACCAGUGGCGAAGGCGACUCACUGGCCCGAUACUGACGCUCAGGUGCGAAAGCCAGGGGAGCGAACGGGGAUUAAGAUACCCGGGU